rnacentral:lncRNA from 1 species
AACCGCAUCCCCACAAGUGUUCUGGAAUCCUGUUCUAGCCCUUCUUGGCCAGGGCUGCAGACGGCACCAGGGAGAGACAGGGUGUGAAAGCAAGUGACUGCAGGCAGAGGGGUGUGCUCAGGAGGGGAGAGAUUGUCCAGGCUGGUCCGUGCACAGGUGUACCUUGUGUACCGAGCACCCUUCAGAGAGCUUUGCCAUUUUGCUGAUCAGGAAAGCCAGUGCUUUGUUUUCACUGAAGCUUAUUUUGUUUUGUUUUUAUCGAAGUUUAUUUUACAAUGUUGUGUUAGUUUCAGGUGUACAGCAAAGUGAUUCAGUUAUGUGUGUGUGUGUGUGUGUGUGUAUACAUAUAUUCUUUUUCAGAGUCUUUUACCUUACAAGUUAUUACAAAAUAUCAAAAUACGAAGUACAGUUCCCUGGUCUGUAACAGUAGGUCCUUGUCGGUUACCUGUUUUAGACACAGUCCUGCGUAUCUGUUAAUCCCAGCCUCCUAACUUGUCCCUCUCUGCACCCUUUCCCGUUUGGCAACUUUAAGUUUUUUUCCAAUGUCUGUGAGUCUAUUUCUGUUUUGGAAAUGGGUUCAUUUAUAUCACUGUCUUUUCAGAUGCCACGUAGAAGCGGUAUCAUAAGACAUCUGUCUUUUUCUGAUGUUUUAAGAAUCAUCAUAGUCUUGUGUUAAAUACGUUGUCAUCAUUGAAGCAGCAGCAUGAUCCUGUCUUGUCUCCCCAGUCUGCUUGGCAGGAACUUGGAUGGAUUCAAGGUCAGACUAUGACCUGUGUGUGUGCGCAUGCGUGUGUGCACACAUGCAGGCCAUGUAAUCUUCCAAGCACACUGGGACUCUCGACAACACAUGACAUGCAGUGUAGAGUCGGGGGUAUGUUAAAUCUGUGAUCUGUGCCAGGACCCUGUGCCAGGACGUGCCAAGCCAAGACACAGUCCUUUGACCCCCUUUCCACUCUUCUCUUGGGGCUGGGCAUCCGCACACAGACCCGUCUCCCAGUCUCUCAGUGCCAGUCGAGCUACUGUAACUUUAAAAAGAUGUAACAAAGACUACCUCCACCAGCUAAGCUGAAAUAAGAAUGUCUCCGGAGUUUAAUGGAUCAAGUAGCGGUGAUAGGUUUUAUGGCUCUUUUUCACUUUAGGGCAUAGGGAAGAGAGAGCCGGGCAGGUUGGUUUUAAAUUCAAGGAUUUAUGUUGUUAAUCCUCCGGGCUAAUUAUAAUUUAUGGGAUCUUGGCAAAUUAAUAUGCGGUUGCUAUUCAAAAGUGGAGGGCAAUGUGAGGCAGGCAUAAACAAGCCUUGUUCAUUUUUAAUUUAUUUCCACCAAUGGAGAAUAUUAAAUAAAAUGAACACUAGGGUAUUUCGCUCCAAGUUUGGUCUUCAUUAUUUAUCUCUAAAUUAUGAAAUUCAUAGAACAACUCCCUGUUUUUUCACCAAGAACCUGGGAACAGGGAGCGGGAACAUCCGGGUAAGUGGGAGGCAGUCAGAGUAGUUUUCUCUCCUCUGUGUCUCAGGCAGAUUCAACAGCACACGCACGGAGAUGGAGUGUUUCCAAGACAGGAUGUUGGUGGGGUCCAAGGUUUGGCCUUGUGCAUGUCGGGAAUGUUUAGAAACAGACCUUGUGCGUGGUCUGUGAGCUCAGAGUCUCAGGAAUACAGGUGUCCACCCUCCAAAACAAUGGCUCCAGCCCAUGAUGUCUCUAGGGAUCAGGGAAAAUCCAAUGGAUUGCUAGCCUCGUAGAUGCUGGGCAGGGGUGACCCCCCACUAGGACUUUGCGACUUGAUCCUAGCCAUCACAUUGCAGCCAGGAACCUCUGUUUCAUCAGCAUCCUCUGUGGCUCUUUUCCUAGUGCUCUUUCAAAGAAUUCAGCUUCUUACCCACAAACAGCUGGCAGCAAAUUCUCCCUGAACCAUGAGAUAGGCAGGUUCAGGCGAACUGGAUAAUCAUUUGUUCCCCAAGAUGCAAGAAUGGCCAUCGCUCGUGUCCCCUCCGCCGGCUUCCCUGCUCACCCUCUUCUCUGCCCCCCUCCCGCCUCCUCUUUCCAGCUGGGAGGCGCCAGCACGGGCUGCUUGGAGACCUCUUGAAACCUCGAGCUCUGAGCCCAGGAAGCGAGUUGGAGUUCUCCCCCCAGCUGUGCGGCUCAGAUAACAGCUGGAGCCCAGAACAGACCGUCCUCGCUGUUAGAAUAUCUGACCCAGUUCUGACUGGCAAAGAGACUGAAUCGUUGGUACCCCAAGCCAUGCCCGGCCCUGUGUGAGAGGAAAGAAGCAGUCGUCCCCUCCCCCAACAUGCUCCAUCUCAAAUCUGUCUCUCUCAAUGGGUCUCCUUUUCAUUGCUGUGAUUUUUUUUUUCUUUUUCUUUUACUUUUUUGUCUUUUCUAGGGCCACACCUGCCACAUAUGGAGGUUCCUAGGCCAGGGGUUGAAUCGCUGCUGUAGCUGCCGGCCUACCCCAGAGCCACAGCCAUGCCAGAUCCGAGCCACGUCUUCGACCUACUCCACAGCUCAUGGCAAUGCCAGAUCUUUGACCCACUGACCGAGGCCAGGGAUCGAACCUGCACCCUUAUGGUUCCUAGUCGGAUUCGUUAAUCAGUGCGCCACGACGGGAACUCUGAUUUUUUUUUUUCUUGUACUUCAUUUUCUCAUUGACCGGAAAAUGAAGGACCACUUUCAACAAUUCUGAAGACACAAUGGGAUAUUCGGCUUUGGGAGGGAAGCUAGACUAGAAAGGCAAGAGUUCCUGGAGCGUGACAGUCCCCAAAUCCAAUCCCAGCUCUGCCUUUUGUCAGCUGGGUGUUGUUGGGCGAGUGACCUCACUUUUCUGACUUCUCAUCAGUGACAUGAGCACAUUGGGGGACUGUUAUGACAAAGCAACUCUUGAGAAGUGCCCGGCCUGUUAUCUGACUUCUUCCCACGGCCCCUGAGUAAAUGUGAUGAAUCGUGUAAAUAUCCCCCAGCGCUCAAGGGCACAGGUACCUGUUGGAUCCUGCGCCUUUGCAGGAGGAGCAAGGGUUCAUGAUAUAUAAGCAGCCCAGCCUCGAGACAUCAUGACUCUGUACCUGCGGUUUUUUCCCCUUGAUCAUUCUCUCUCUGUUAGAUUUUCAAGAAAGGCAGUAGGUAAUUUUGGGAACAAAUCAGCUUGAGUGAUGCCCAGACCAGGAAGAUAGAAAAAGAUCAAGGUGACCCAGUGGCGCAAGGAUUUAGGGUCAUCAUAUUACAGAGUUUUGUCCAAAGAACAGCUGGUUUUGAUCUACUGAUCACACCAUCCCUUGAAUCCUGAUGUGUGUCUACUGGGUCUGGUAGGAAACAGAUUUGUGUAACAGUCUCCAUCCUGAAUUCAAAUCCUUAUCCCACCCAUCUGCUCAAGCUUUGUAACUGGGUCAAGCUAAGCAGGCAUGUCUCCUUCUUGAGGAUGAGUUGUGUCCUAGUACCCUGCUUGGCACCUCCCACAAAUGCACUUCUUUCUGGUGGGGGGGGCUUCAGUGAACAAAAUCUGAUGCCCAGACUUGCAUGAACCCCAGGACUAGACAUGGCACAGGCUCAGCUGAAGAAUCUUACCUCUGCCUCUCCUUCCCAGCUUCCUGCCAACAGGAGAAUUUAGCUGGUUUCACCUUUAAGUAUCUAGUCCUCCUUUCCUCUUGAGCAUUUUUAUCUUGAAAGUCAAGAUUUUUGGUUCAAGUCUACUGGCCCAAGAGAAGGGUUCUCUGCUUGAUUUACAGUAGGUGAUAAUGAGUAGUAAACAAAGCACUCAGCUGUGAAGUCACCAUUCGCUUAUGCCAGGUAGAGCUGAGCAUCAUGACAGCGCCAGGGAGUUAUCGAUAUGGUGCUAUGGUUGACUGUUGAAAUCCUACCCUUUAAUGGGAUAGAAUUAGAAGGUGGGGCCUUUGGCACAUAAUUAGGUCAUGAGGGUGGAGCCCUCACACAUGAGAUUAGUGCCCUUAUAAAAAGAUCCAAGAGAGCUCCUUGUCCCUUCCAUCAUCUUUGGACACAAGGUGAGGUCUGCCACCCAGAAAGCCCUCACCUGACCAGGCUGGCAGCCCCAUCUCCACAACUGUGAGAAAUAAAGUUCUGUGUUGAUAAGCCACCCAAUCUCUGGCAUUUGGCUCUAAAGAACCAAGAGAGCUGGAGAGCAUAUUUGGUCCAGUUUCCUUUCCUGCUUCUCUGGAUCUGAGGAUCAUUUCCAAGAAUAUCCAAAUGUGGAACAUCUCUCCCUUUGGGGGCUUCCAACUUCCCAGAUGCCCGGUUUUCUUUUGACCCCUUUCUCACUGAGCUUUUGUUUGUUUGGCUGUACUUGUGGUAUAUGGAAAUUCAUCUUCCAGUCACUGAAUCCAAGCUGCAGCUGCAACCUACUGUGCAGCUGCAGCAGCGCCAGAUCCUUUAACCCACUGCUUCAGGCCAGGGAUCAAACCUGUGCCUCUGCAGUGGCCCAAGCCACUCCAGUCAGGUUCCCACCCCACGGCACCACAGUGGGAACUCCCCACUGUGGGUUUUUUAUUGAAUGCAUUUACCUCGCCUUCCCAGAACACAGGGGGAAGGCCCUGCAUUUCCACCAACACAAAUGUUGCUGAUGGCUUGUAUCUCGGUUUUAUUUCUUACUCUCCCACUUCAUAAAAGACUAGGAAAGCACUCGCCCAAAUGUUUGCACAUCAUUUCAAUAUUCAUUUCCAUUAAUUUAUUCAUAGCUGUAAAGUUUACUACCUAGAAUAUUGAGUCAUAAGAUUUGAGAGACGGAAGACACAGGAGAGGAGAGGUUAUCUCGUCCCAACUCCUCGUUUUACAGAUGAGGAGACUGAGGUGAGAGGGCUCGGGCAGCUCUCCAAGGUCAAAUUGGAAUGGUGACAAAGGGGAGGUCCCAGGGCAGGUCUCUGCUGUCUGGCCUCUGUUCAUUGCAGCUCUGCAGAGCUGAAAACCAUCUUGCUCUCUGCUGGCACAGAAAGCCUCUUUCUUGUUCAUUUCUUGUGCCUUCAUUAUCUAGAAAGUUUGUGUUAAGGGCCAGCCCAGAGCUCAGUGCUGGAGUGCCGCAGUAAAUGACCCCGUCAGGGUAGCAGCACUCACAUCAUAGUGGGGCAGAGACUGAGCAAAGAGACGAACAGGGGUGUGUGUAGGUGUGUGUGUGUGUGUGUGUGUGUGUGUAGGUGUGUGUGUGUGCACGAGAACAAGUUGUGAUGAUAGCUCUUGAAUAAACAAGGGCUGCGUGGAGGACAGUGGUGGGAGGUGUCUUAAUUGGGUUGCUCUAAAAAGUACCACAGACCAGGAAGCUUAUAGGCAACAUAUUCUUACUUCUCAUAGUUCAGGAGCCUGAAGUCUGAGAUCCGGCUGCCAGUGUGGUCAGGUUCUGGUGGGAGCCCUCUUCCAGGUUGCAGACAGCCUACUUCUUAUGUCAUCACAUGUAGAAAGAGGCCAGGAGAGCUCUCUGCAGUCCUUAUUUAAGCACACCAAUUCCAUUCACGAGGCCUCUGCCCUUAUGAUCUCAUCACCUCCCAAAGGCCCCACUUCCUAAUAGCAUCCCAUGGAGGGGAGGGUGAGGAUUUCAAGGUAUGAAUUUGGGAGGGAUGAAGACAUUCGGUUCAUAAUAGAAGGCUGGGGCGGGAGUCUUGGGUUGUGUUUUCCCAAGGAGGUGAGAAGAGGAGACUGGAAAGGGGAGUGAGCCAACACUGGGUGCCUUAAUUAAAGGAUGCUGCAGCAGAGAAGUGGUCCAGGAUCCACCCAGGGAAUUCUGGGAAUCGGUGCAGAAGACGUUGCCUCUGAGUCAUCCCCUAGGCAGGGCCAGGAAACUGGGGUCCUUCCCUACCAGUUCCCCAUCUGUCAGUGGUUGAGAACUGCUCUCACGGCGUUUACCUCUGAGCUGUGCUGGCCAGCAUCCCAGCACAAUAUUUGCAGUAUUUGUGGCAUGCUUAUACUAAAAUUCAAAAGUAGCUGACAUUCCAAAUUGAACUGCCCUCCUGCAUUGUAUUAGGCGACCCAGCUGCCCCUUUGAUGGGUCCAGCGGCACCUGUAGCCAGAGUCGGGUACCAGCAUCACAGAUAGUUGUGGAAGGGAGGGCGGAGCAGCAGCUGGACAAGUGACUUGGAAAGUCCCUGAGGGGCCAAAAAGGUCUUAGGGAGUAGAUGUCAGUGAAGACAAGGUCCCAAGGCUGGGAAGGAGCCAGCCUUUCACACAAGGAGGGGGAAUGAAGGUGGGGGCAGAGCCCUGAUUUCCAGGCAGCGCGAACAUCACAUGAAACAGGGAGUACGUGCUCUCUGUUGCCCUAGAUGAGGGUCCUGGUGUUUGGAAGCGGCCUUCGAGGUGGGGUCGCAGGGCUGGUGAUGAUCCUAAGGCUGUGUCGCACCUCAUGCUCGCCAGGCACUGUCUGUGUGUGGGGCAGGAUGCUUGCGUCUUGCAUGAUGCCACGUAACCUUCCUGACGGCCCUAGGAGGGAGGUGCUAGCAUCAGGCCCUUUUCCAAAACUGAGGAAACGAAGGCUUUGAGAGCAUAGGUGACCUGCUAGUGAGGGGUCCAGCCAAGAUUUGAACCCAAACAGCUCGAGAGUCCACUUAAUCCUCAAACCCAUCUAUCGCAGGUUGAAUUGUGUGCCCUGUGUCCAGAGCUAGAUUGACUCUAGACCCCCAGCACCUGUGAAUAGGAAACUGGAAAUAAGGCUUUUGCAGUUGUAAUCAAAUUAUAGUGAGGCAGGGAGUUCCCACUGUGGCUCAGCAGUAACGAACCGGACUCGCAUCCACGAAGAUGCGGGUUUGAUCCCUGGCCUUGCUCAGUGGAGUAAGGCUCCAGCAUUCCAUGAGCUAUGGUGUAGGUUGCAGACGUAGCUCGGACCCACGUUGCCAUGGCUGUGGUGUAGCCCAGCAGCUGCAGCUCCAGUGUGACCCCUAGCCUGGAAACUUCCAUAUGCUGCAGGAGCGGCUAUAAAAAGCCAAAAAGAAAAAAACAUUAAAGUAAGGUAGUUUAGCAAGAUGAAUAAACCGUAGAGAUCUGUAGCACCCUAUACCUGUGGUUCCCAAUGAUGUAGUUUAUGUAUAAAAAUGUGUUAAGAGAGUAGAUCUUAUGUGACAUGUCUUACUGCAAAAAAAAUUUAAAAAAAAUUUAAAUGACAUUAUCCUGGAUUAGAAUGGGACCGAUAUCCAUGGAUUGAUGUCUUUAUAAGAGAAGAGAGGAAAGUUUGAAGAUACACACACACACACACACACACACACGCACGCACGCAACGCACAUACGCGCGCACCUGCACAUGCACACACCGAAGAAAGAAAUAAUACUGUGUAAAGAAUACCAGGCAAAUAUUGUAUUUUAUGUUGCUACUGAUGCAAACAGCCCCAGACAUUGUUGGUGACCCUCAGAGGCUGGACGCAGCAAAGGACUCCCCCUGACAGCCUUUGGAAGGAUCACAGCCCUGUGGACACCUUGCUUUUGAACUUCUGGCCUCCGGGACAGUGAGAGAAUACCUUUCUGAUGUGCCACCCAGUUUGUGACACUUUGUGACAGCAGAACUGGAAAACUGAUACUGCAUCCCUUCUCAGCUUACCAAAGGGCAUCUGAAGGGGAGCCUUUAAGCAAAUUAAACAACUGCCCCAGGCAGGAGCCAGGCAGCCAAAUGGCUCACCUGGGGGCCUCAGGUGACAGAGGCACCCACUGCCCCCCUUUAAUGGGCCAGAAUGGUGUUCACAUUUCCCAGCCCAUUGGCAGUGACAUAGAGGGAGGAGCCAAGGCUGCAAUCACAACGAUAUACAGCUCAAGGCCAGUGCAAUGAUUAGCUGCCCACAGGAACAGUGCAACGUGCAUGAUAUUUGCCUGCCCAGGAAAGCCAAGUGCAAGUUCCUGCCCGCUCUCAUGACCCGGUUCCGCCAGCGCGGGAAGGGACAGGCCCCUCCAGCUCCUGCCCUCUGCUGCCACCAGGAUUUAACUCCUUCCUGUCCCCCAGGCUGUUGGACAUCGCACACAACUGUUCCAACGUGCAUUCAAGGGGGGUCAGUCUCUUUGAUGGGGCCCUGCCUUUUCUGGAGCUUUCCAACAAUCAAUGGAAGCAUGAUUCAUAGAAGUGCACAUGGCCCAUUUUU